GAUGAACGCUGACAGAAUGCUUAACACAUGCAAGUCUUUGGCGAAGCUGUGCUUGCACAGCCUAGCCAAGGCGGACGGGUGAGUAACGCGUAAGGAACUUGCCCUGCAGUCAGGGAUAACAGACGGAAACGACUGAUAAGACCUGGUAAAGUCAGGCGGACUCAUGUCCAGCCUGAUGAAAAGAGAUGCUGCAGGAGAGCCUUGCGUCCUAUUAGCUUGUUGGUGGGGUAACGGCCCACCAAGGCGAUGAUAGGUAGCCGGCCUGAGAGGGUGGACGGCCACAAGGGGAAUGAGAGACGGCCCUUACGCCUACGGGAGGCAGCAGUGGGGAAUAUUGGACAAUGGGGGCAACCCUGAUCCAGCAAUUCUGUGUGCACGAUGAAGGUUUUCGGAUUGUAAAGUGCUUUCAGCAGGGAAGAAAAAAAUGACGGUACCUGCAGAAGAAGCGACGGCUAAAUACGUG
rnacentral:rRNA from 1 species